UUUUGGGGGUACAUGUGAUAUUCUGAUACACAUAUACAAUGUGCAAUGAUCAAAUCAAGGUAACUGGGAUAUAUAAGACCUUAAACAUGUGUCUUUUCUUUCUGUUGGGAACAUUACAAAUCUCUUUUAGCUAUACUGAAAUAUACAAGAAAAUAUUGUUAACUUAUAACACUUGUUCCUUCUACCUAACUGUAUGUCUGUAUCCCUUAACCAACUUUGGAGGAACUUUUAAAGCCCAGGAACACAUGCUGUCAGAGUGGUGACGUCAUGGCCCCUGCCCAUUGGCUGUCGGAGCAGUGACAUCAUCAUACCUGCUGGAAGUUGCUGCCAUACCCCUGAGAGAGAAUGAGACAGAAGUAACAUGUUAACAUUGUCACGAACAGAGUUUUCACCUUGAAGAUGCCUUGAAAGUGUAUCGGGGCCCCAGAGCUCUCUGGACCACUUUGAGAACCACUCAGUCCUCUAAACUGCUGAAAACUGGUGCCUUUGUGAACACAAAUCAGGGCAACUUGGAGUUUCUGUGCUGGAAGGACGGCUUCAGAGGAGCUCAUCGUGGCCAGAAAAAUGCAGGAGGAUGAAGAGGUGAAUCUGGGAGGCAGACAGGAACAAUCAACUGAACAAAUACAGGAUGCCAGCCUGUGUGAAGUGUAGCAGAGGGCGUGCAAAGACAUCGCUCUGCCCUCGGGCUUCUGA
rnacentral:lncRNA from 1 species